AUGUCCUGUCGCCGCGAUGGUUCCCCAUCGCCUUGGGCGAGACGGGACAAAAGGGAAUACGGUGCGGCCAACAAAAAGGCCAAGUCCGUGACUGCCCCCGCAACUGUAGGCGGUGAGCGACCCCGAGAUCGACCACUGGGCCAAAGCCUGGGAAGGAUCGGGAGAGCGUUGACCCGCAAGUCAGGAGACCUGCCAUCCGAUUUGUAAACCA
rnacentral:ncRNA from 2 species